CCGGGUAUUUUCUUUAUUGACAAUGCCAACGAAAUGACGAAUGCGCAAGCUUAUGGUGACCAGGUCGUUGCAACAAAUCCGUGUGGUAAAGUGGCACAGUUUGCCUCACGUAAAAAAUCGGAUGAAUUGCUGGGAAGCUAAGGGGUUAAACCUAGGCCAAUCAGCAGCCAAGCUAGCCAGGGAUGGUUAGAAGGUUCAGAGACUAGUCAUAUACCACUGGAACAGUGAUGAAAUGGCCACGAGCGUCCGAUGCUUCAGACGGUUAAAAUGUUUGAAGUAAAGAUAUAGUCCGACACUCCAUUGAAAAAUGGAG
rnacentral:ribozyme from 1 species